AUUGAACGCUGGCGGCAUGCUUUACACAUGCAAGUCGAGCGAUGAAGCACCUUCGGGUGUGAAUUAGCGGCGAACGGGUGAGGAACACGUGAGAAAUCUGCCUUCAACUCUGGGAUAACUCCGGGAAACCGGGGCUGAUACCGGAUAUGAGCCUCUUUCGCAUGAGGGGGGCUGGAAAGUUUUUCGGUUGAAGAUAAUCUCGCGGCCUAUCAGCUUGUUGGUGAGGUAAUGGCUCACCAAGGCGACGACGGGUAGCCGGCCUGAGAGGGCGACCGGCCACACUGGGACUGAGACACGGCCCAGACUCCUACGGGAGGCAGCAGUGGGGAAUAUUGGGCAAUGGGCGAAAGCCUGACCCAGCGACGCCGCGUGAGGGAUGAAGGCCUUCGGGUUGUAAACCUCUUUCAGUAGGGAAGAAGCGAAAGUGACGGUACCUACAGAAGAAGCACCGGCUAACUAUGUGCCAGCAGCCGCAGUAACAC
rnacentral:rRNA from 1 species